rnacentral:rRNA from 1 species
UACGUAGGGUGCAAGCGUUGUCCGGAAUUAUUGGGCGUAAAGAGCUCGUAGGCGGUUUGUCGCGUCGGCUGUGAAAGCCCGGAGCUCAACUCCGGGUCUGCAGUCGAUACGGGCAGACUUGAGUGUUGCAGGGGAGACUGGAAUUCCUGGUGUAGCGGUGAAAUGCGCAGAUAUCAGGAGGAACACCGGUGGCGAAGGCGGGUCUCUGGGCAGUAACUGACGCUGAGGAGCGAAAGCGUGGGGAGCAAACAGG